rnacentral:rRNA from 1 species
AACGUAGGAGACAAACGUUAUCCGGAGUUACUGGGCGUAAAGGGCGUGCAGGCGGCGCUUUAAGUUCGGCGUGAAAGCUCCUGGCUAAACCGGGAGAGGUCGUCGGAAACUGGAGUGCUAGAGGGUGAUAGAGGCGGGUGGAAUUCCGGGUGUAGUGGUGAAAUGCGUAGAGAUCCGGAGGAACACCAGUGGCGAAGGCGACCCGCUGGGUCACACCUGACGCUGAGACGCGACAGCAUGGGGAGCGAACGGGAUUAGAAACCCCCGUAGUCC